ACAAUGGGGGGUACGAGAGGGCCGCUACCACGCGAGUGGAUGCCAAUCCCCAAAACCUCUCUCAGUUCGGACUGGAGUCUGCAACCCGACUCCACGAAGCUGGAUUCGCUAGUAAUCGCGCAUCAGCCACGGCGCGGUGAAUACGUUCCCGGGCCUUGUACACACCGCCCGUCAAGCCAUGGGAGCCGGGGGUACCUGAAGUGCGUAACCGCGAGGAGCGCCCUAGGGUAAAACUGGUGACUGGGGCUAAGUCGUAACAAGGUACC
rnacentral:rRNA from 1 species